rnacentral:rRNA from 1 species
CGAAAUAGUUUGAGCUAAAUAAGCGUGUCUAUUGGGGCAAUGUAGGGCGUUAUAUAGCCCCUUUUCAAGACUUAUUUAGGGGUGAAAGGCCUAUCAAAAAUUAUGAUAUCUUGAUACCAUAGAAAAGUAUUUAGUACUAUAAACAAAUAUAAAGUGUUGAGGCUUUAUAUAUAUAUAUAAUAUUUAGUUAAGGUAAUUGAACUGCUGUAACUAGCUUUAUUUGGCUUAUUCUAUUAUUAAUGUUAUAAGUAUAUAGGUACGAAUAUAGGUUAGAUAUAGGAACUGUAUUAUAUAUUAAUAAUGUUUACAUAAGUACUCCUAGGAGACCUAAAUAACGAACUCGGCAAAAAGUUUCUUCAACUGUUUAUCAAAAACAUAACUAUACGGGUUAUUUAUGUAUAGCGAUUUCUGCUCAAUGUAAAUAUAAAUAGCCGCAGUACUUUGACUGUGCAAAGGUAGCAUAAUCAGUUGGCUUAUAAUUGAAGUCUAGUAUGAAGGAAAAUCUGUGGGGAAAUACUGUUUCGUUUAGGUUAGCGAAAAUUAUUUAUUGGGUGAAAAUCCCCAUAUCAAAAAAAUAGACGAGAAGACCCUAGAAAUUUUCAUUAUAUAAUUUUGUUAAUUAUUCUUUUUUGUUGGGGCGACAAAGUAGCAAGUAACCUACUAAUAAUUUAUAAGGAUUAAUUUGGACGACUAAAUAAAUUACUCUAGGGAUAACAGCAUAAUAUUAAAAAGUUUGUGACCUCGAUGUUGGACUAGGAAAGUAUAGUUUAGAAGACUAUUACAAAGGCUCUGUU